rnacentral:rRNA from 1 species
AACGAACGCUGGCGGCAGGCCUAAUACAUGCAAGUCGAACGCUGUAGCAAUACAGAGUGGCGCACGGGUGAGUAACGCGUGGGAACGUACCCUUCAGUGCGGAACAACGUCGGGAAACUGACGCUAAUACCGCAUAAUGUCUCCGGACGAAAGAUUUAUCGCCGAAGGAUCGGCCCGCGUUGGAUUAGGUAGUUGGUGGGGUAAUGGCCUACCAAGCCGACGAUCCAUAGCUGGUUUGGGAGGAUGAUCAGCCACACUGGGACUGAGACACGGCCCAGACUCCUACGGGAGGCAGCAGUGGGGAAUCUUAGACAAUGGGGGAAACCCUGAUCUAGCCAUGCCGCGUGAGCGAUGAAGGCCUUAGGGUUGUAAAGCUCUUUCAGUGGGGAAGAUAAUGACGGUACCCACAGAAGAAGCCCCGGCUAACUCCGUGCCAGCCGCCGCGGUAA